rnacentral:rRNA from 1 species
AAGUCGAACGAAGUAGCAAUACUUAGUGGCAGACGGGUGAGUAACAUGUGGGUAUCUACCCUUUGGCCUGGAAUAACACGAGGAAACUUGUGCUAAUACUGGAUAAGUCUUUACGGAGAAAGCUUUAUGCACCAUUGGAUGAGCCCGCACUUGAUUAGUUUGUUGGUGGGGUAAUGGCCUACCAAGACUGUGAUCAAUAGCUGAUUUGAGAGGAUGAUCAGCCACAUUGGGACUGAGACACGGCCCAAACUCCUACGGGAGGCAGCAGUGGGGAAUCUUGCACAAUGGAGGAAACUCUGAUGCAGCGAUGCCGCGUGAGUGAAGAAGGCCCUUGGGUUGUAAAGCUCUUUCGUCGGGGAAGAAAAUGACUGUACCCGAAUAAGAAGGUCCGGCUAACUUCGUGCCAGCAGCCGCGGUAAUACGAAGGGACCUAGCGUAGUUCGGAAUUACUGGGCUUAAAGAGUUCGUAGGUGGUUGAAAAAGUUGGUGGUGAAAUCCCAGAGCUUAACUCUGGAACUGCCAUCAAAACUUUUCAGCUAGAGUAUGAUAGAGGAAAGCAGAAUUUCUAGUGUAGAGGUGAAAUUCGUAGAUAUUAGAAAGAAUACCAAUUGCGAAGGCAGCUUUCUGGAUCAUUACUGACACUGAGGAACGAAAGCAUGGGUAGCGAAGA